UGUUAAAAAUCUCAUUCAUUUUUACUAUUAAAAAUUGACAAAGUUGACAGAGUAAUCAGACAAUUACACAUGACAUGUUAUGUAUACCUCAUCUUAACAUACAAAAAUCAAUUUUUAACGGAAUGACCAGUUAGUUUUUUAAUC
rnacentral:pre_miRNA from 1 species